rnacentral:rRNA from 1 species
GAUGAACGCUGGCGGCGUGCCUAAUACAUGCAAGUCGAGCGAACAGACGAGGAGCUUGCUCCUCUGACGUUAGCGGCGGACGGGUGAGUAGCACGUGGAUAACCUACCUAUAAGACUGGGAUAACUUCGGGAAACCGGAGCUAAUACCGGAUAAUAUAUUGAACCGCAUGGUUCAAUAGUGAAAGACGGUUUUGCUGUCACUUAUAGAUGGAUCCGCGCCGCAUUAGCUAGUUGGUAAGGUAACGGCUUACCAAGGCAACGAUGCGUAGCCGACCUGAGAGGGUGAUCGGCCACACUGGAAGGGUGACACGGUACAGAGUCCUACGGGAGGCAGCAGUAGGGAAUCUUGCGCAAUGGGCGGAAGCCUGACGGAGCAACGCGGCGUGAGUGAGGAAGGUCGUCGGAUCGUAAAACUCUGUUAUUAGGGAAGAACAAAUGUGUAAGUAACUAUGCACGUCUUGACGGUACCUAAUCAGAAAGCCACGGCUAACUACGUG